UCCAAAAUCCCUAACUAAGCCCGUGCCCUCCCUCCUCCCUUUUUUCCCAAUUCAAAAAUCUUCACCUCCGUCCACCCUUCUCCACCGAUCCACCUCCAGUCCCGGGUCCUCCACGGCUGACUGCUCCACCGCCAGUGCUUUUACGUCUUCUACCUUGGAUUUCUAAGGUAUAUUAACUUUUAUUCCUUUCCUUACACUGUAUUUUCUUUAACAUGUUCAGUUUGGUAAUAUCUUUUCUUCCCCAUAACAAUACAAAAAUAAACCAAAGCCUGAAAACAACCCAAGUAUAAUCUUAAGAAAAUGGAAAAACAGUAGCUCUACUUAACAAAGCAAAAUCAGUUCCUUUAAACCCAUCACCCAAAAUACCUUUCUUUUGCCACAGGUUUCUUCUUUCCUGAACUUAAACCUAUUCUGUUAUUCAACUUGCUUUUUUCCCUUUUCUGGGUAUCAAAUAAAUAUCCCUUUUUUUAAUAAAUAUUGGAUCUUUUUUUGCUGUUUGUUUUUGGAUUCAGGCUUUCAGGAUCUGAGAUUCUUCACAUAAGGUAUACCUCUAUACCCCUUUUUUGUUUCUCUCUUGGUGUUAAUUCUUGUUUUAUUUCGUAUUUCUUUUGAUUGAAUGAUCAUUGGGUGUUUUGUUUCAUGGGGGAAAAUGGGAUUUAAAUAGAUAUUGAAGGGUUAUUUUUAAUAAUUAUUAUUUGUUACUUCUUUCCAUGAAAAAAUGGGAUUUUAAGUAGAUAUCAGAGGGUUCUUUUUUAAUCUUUUUUUCUUUAGUUCAUUCUA
rnacentral:lncRNA from 1 species